rnacentral:rRNA from 1 species
GAUGAACGCUGGCGGCGUGCCUAAUACAUGCAAGUCGAGCGAACAGACGAGGAGCUUGCUCCUCUGACGUUAGCGGCGGACGGGUGAGUAACACGUGGAUAACCUACCUAUAAGACUGGGAUAACUUCGGGAAACCGGAGCUAAUACCGGAUAAUAUAUUGGACCGCAUGGUUCAAUAGUGAAAGACGGUUUUGCUGUCACUUAUAGAUGGAUCCGCGCCGCAUUAGCUAGUUGGUAAGGUAACGGCUUACCAAGGCGACGAUGCGUAGCCGACCUGAGAGGGUGAUCGGCCACACUGGAACUGAGACACGGUCCAGACUCCUACGGGAGGCAGCAGUAGGGAAUCUUCCGCAAUGGGCGAAAGCCUGACGGAGCAACGCCGCGUGAGUGAUGAAGGUCUUCGGAUCGUAAAACUCUGUUAUUAGGGAAGAACAAAUGUGUAAGUAACUAUGCACGUCUUGACGGUACCUAAUCAGAAAGCCACGGCUAACUACGUG